AACGUAGGUGGCGAGCGUUAUCCGGAUUUACUGGGCGUAAAGGGUGUGCAGGCGGGGUGCCAAGUGGUGUAUGAAAGGGCGGAGCUUAAUUUCGCUAGGUUAUGCCAGACUGGCACUCUGGAGUGCGAGAGAGGGGCGUGGAAUUCCGGGUGUAGCGGUGGAAUGCGUAGAGAUCCGGAAGAACACCGGUGGCGAAGGCGGUCUGCUGGGCCAAGACUGACGCUGAGGCGCGACAGCGUGGGGAGCAAACAGG
rnacentral:rRNA from 1 species